rnacentral:lncRNA from 1 species
UUCUUUUUAAAAUUAAAAUUUAUCUAGGGCACAAAUCUACUUACAGACUUAUGUUCUCUUUCUAUCAAACUCACCCACUUUCUCUCAUCUUCAAUAAUGUAAGAUUCUUGCUUCAAAUACAACAAAUUGAUUAUGAAUCUACGGCUCAAAUACAAUGGGAACAUAGAUAUCCAAUGGAGAAUAGAAGAAAUUUAGAAAUUGGGCAAAAAUUUUUGCUGUAUAACUUUUGUGUUUGUUGACCCUCGUUCAUUCCCGGGCAUGUUUGCUGCUCCGCAAGAUUUUCAGAUGAAACCCUUAUUUUUACAAUUUUUGCACUUUGUCUACAUCAUUAUUCUUAUCUUUGUCCAGGUAAAUUUUCUGUUAUUUUGUUUUUGUUUUUCUUUCUUUCCAUUUAAUUAUGUUGAGGAAUUUUGAUAUGGUAAUUCUUAUUUGACCGAUACCUUGAUUUUCAUACUUUUGGGUCAAUAAUAAAUUCAUAUGACUUUAGGGUUUAGAUUUCACUAUUUUUUAUUAGAGAUUUACCCUAAUAAUAAAUUGAUAUGAUAUGAUAUGUUCAAGAGUCAACAUGGUUGUUGUUGGAGCCCACGCUGUCAUGGCCAAUGGUGGGGUUAUUGCACCUAUUGGAAUGAACAUGGUGGCUCUAGCAGCUCAAAGGCGUGCUGUUCCUUUUGUUGUUCUUGCAGGCACUCACAAGGUAUUUUAGCUUCACUAAGGCACUGGUCUGAAGGGUCAGACCAAUACCUUAGUGAUAGGCCUUUGCAAAAGCAUGGAGGAGGACUUGAGCACAACGAAACAUAUUAUGGUUCCUGUUACGGUGCUGAAGGGUCAGAUGAUGAAGCCUAUCGAAAGAAAGGUUGGGCAUUGUCAAACCUAGAUAUUUUUGACCAGGUAUGUUUCUAUAUUGGCAGGUAUAUUGUCAGUUGAUCAUCGAAGGAGUUACAUGUCUUGUGUGGGUGUCUUUUCUCUCCAAAUUAUUCCCUGAAUUUGAAGCCAUUUUUCCUCUGUAAAAGCUUGACUACCGUGGCUUCUUUCUUUUGUGAAAAUAGAAGAUCUAAGAAGUUAACAGUAUGGCUUGCUAUGUUAAAGCCUUAAAGUAUCUUAACUCUACCUCCUAAGUGUUUGAUGAGUCUUGAAUAAAGAUCUGGUUUUCAUUUUGAAUCUUGUAUCGAAGUUAUGCAGCAUAACAUGGAUGUGAUAGAAGUGCUGUGAGCAAUAAGGUCUCACAAUCACAACAAACAAAUGUGGACAUGAUCAUUUGUGUAUUUGUAUGUUAAAGGAAAUGAGCGUGAUUAAUCCAACUUUUUGCAGGCACUCACAAGGUUUUUUGGUACUGUCUCUUCGUGUCUAUAUUUUUAUUAAUGUAGUGUUUAUGCUUUCCUGAGCCGAUGGUCUAUUGGAAACAACCUCUCUAUCAUCAAAAGGUAUCAUCACAAGGUAGGGGUAAGGUCUGUGACUUUGUGUACACACUAUCCUCCCAAAGCUCACGGUGUGGGAUAAGACUGUGUAUGUUGUUGUUGUUGUUGUUGUUGUUGUAAGGCACUGGUCUCUACCUUCAGGAAAUAAAUAUAUUUUACUCAUCCUAGUUUUAUUUAAGAAAUAAAGAGCUAAUUCCAUAUAACAACAACAAUUACACCUCAGUCCCAAAAACAAGUUAGGGUCGGCUAUAUGGAUCCUCCCUUCAUUCUUCUGUGUAGAUUGUGUAAAUAUUGCAAUCUUCCGUGUAUUCCUUGUAGCAUAGAAUGUAUUUUUGAUGUUGCAGUAUUAGGCCUCUGGUUUUGCCUUUGAAUUUUGAUGGAUAAGAAGUACGUAUUUGAUUUAAAUAGAACCUUACUUGGAAAUAAGCAUGAGAAGUACCUUCACUGGUCAAAGGCAUCAUCGGGAACAUGAAAUGCUAUAAUUAUUAAUUAGAUUAAGGCAGAACGGAAAUUAGUUGUCUUGCUUUGAUUUUGUAUCAAUAAAAGGUCAAGAGCAUUUCUUAGAAAAACUUUGAAGAGAUCAUUUCGGCAGUUGGAGUGUCCUAAGAAAGGGUUAAUAUUCACUAUUUAAUAGUGUUGCCUAUGCAAAAGGAUGCGAAUGAGCAGAUCAGUAAAUGCAAUUUUGUUGGAAAAUUUUACUAAAUAUAGAUAAACACUAUGCUAAAAAGAAUAGAUAAAUCAGAAAUGACACUGCUUGACAAAGAGCGCUUCACGGACUUGCUUAUAGAGGUUGGAGGUUGAACCUCAGCUUCGACUUUCUUUUUGGCAAAUAUUGUGUGAGCCUCUAUUGUAAAAAAAAUUGUGGUUAAAAAGAAUUGAACCCUAGACCUUUUCUAGCUUAAGACUCCAUUAAACCAAUGUGCCAACACUCUUUCUUGUCUACAAAAGUGAUAAUAAUUACUCAAAAGUUAAGAAAGAAAGAAAGAUUUUGGAACUUGUGGUAUAAAACAACCCAUAUAUAUAUUUGUGUGGCUAUAAAUCAUCUCAUUAAGGAUAAAAUGGAAAGUUUAUAUUUAAAUUAUUUCUUAAGAUAGAAAGAUAUAAUUCUUUUUGGAAUAGAUUAAAAAAGAAAGUGCAUCACAUAAACUGGAACGACGAAGUAUAUAUUUUCUUUGCUUAUUUUCUAAGAAGAUGUGGCAUGGCUUAUUUAAGAGUUUGAAAGACCAUAGGACACUGCAAUCUUGUUACACUCCUUGUAAACUUACAAUCUGUGUUAGAUUUUUCUGAGACAGUGGGAAGGAAUAGGUUCUGGUAAGGUCAUAUCAAGUGGUAACAGGAUUUCUUGCUACUGAUGGAUCGUGUUUGACAAGUUAUAAUGCUGAUUUAGAAAGUUAAGAAGCACUGUAACAUAAGGCACCUUAUUGCUCUUGGAUCCAACUGAGCCAAUAAGAACCUUAGGCUUCUCUCCCUACUAUCUUUGUCAUUUUGCUGUUAUUAUCAUCAGCUAGUAGAACGAAAUAAGUUCUUAUGUUUUUUAAGUUGUCUUGCUCUAAAUACUUUGCAUACAUUGUAGUUAAUUUUGGAGGUGGGAGUUGAGAUUGGGAGCUUCAAAACCAGUUUGGAGACUUCUCUGCGAUCAAAAGCUAGCUAUGUCACUAAUAAGGUUUGGACUGUCUUUAAUUUACAUGGAAGUUCAAGAAAUAAAUUAAAAUAUUCUUUCCAGGUGCUUCCUUAAAAUAACAAGAUUUUGAAGGUGGGAACUUGUUUAGUUUUUAGUUUCUCUGUUCUACUUAAGUUGCUUCAUUUUUUCCAUGUUAUUUUUAAAUAUCAUUUUAUACGUCUUUUUGCCAAUCUUUUUAAUUGAAUAUAUUUAGUAUAGGCUAUUAAAAAGGGUCGAGAUCCAACACCAAGUGAGAUACAUUUGCACAUCCAUACACAUGGUAAUGAUGAAAAUCAUUUGAUGGUGAGAAAUCCCGAAUCGUACAUCUAAGUCAACUUUUUAAAUAAUUUUAUUGAUUUUACUUUCAUAUCUUUUUUUCAUUUUGUAAAUUGAAUACUCAAUAUUCUUUAAUGUUUCAAUUUCACUAAUUAUUAACUCUUCUACCUGAAAAAUAUGAGGAGAUAUUAAAGCAACAAAUACAUAGUCAAUCUGAUAUUGAUCAGUGUAAAACAUAUUACGAAGUUGCAGGAGAAGAUAAGAAAAGAAGAGUAUAUGGUCUUGGAUCUCAAGAAAAAUACUACUAUGGGCCGAAUCUUUAUGACUCUUUUGGAUCUGAUGCAACAUCCUCAGCAACACCUUUAAAUGCUCAAUCAGCACCGAUAGGGAAUAUGAAUGAGUUAAUGACACGAUUGAUUCCUGUACUGACUGAUCAUAUAAUUCCUGUAAUCGUUGAGUGGGUAUGCGAAUUAGUUUCUUUAUCCUCGCAACAGCCCAAUAUUGAUCCUACCAAUCACCCAUCUGACGUGGCACCUAUAGUUCCUACCUCUUAUGUUGCUGCUAAUAUUGAUGAGGUUCAUGUAAUGGGUUCUGACGAUGACCAUGACUCUCCAGCCUUGCAUAGUUAGCCUAUUUUCUUUAAACUUUAUUGUAGGUGCUUGUGGAUAUUUUGUACUUAACGAUACAAUUAUAUGUAUUAUGCUAUAUAUUUUGGACCUUAUUGAAUGUUAAUUUAUAUUAAUAUCAGUCACUUUUAAUUAAGUGUAUUUAAUA